AAUGAACGCUGGCGGUAGGCCUAACACAUGCAAGUCGAACGGCAGCACCGUAUGAACUUGCUCUUACGGGCGGCGAGUGGCGGAACGGUGGGGCAUACACCGAAAUCUACUUCUACGUGGGGGAUAACGUGGGGAAACUUACGCUAAUACCGCAUACAACCUCCUGGUGAACGCCGGCGAUCUUCGCACCUUGCGCGAUUGUAUGAGCCGAUGUCGGAUUAGCUAGUUGGCGGGGUAAAGGCCCACCAAGGCGACGAUCCGUAGCUGGUAUGACAGCAUGGACGGCCAGACUGGAUUCGAGACACGGUCCCGACUCCUAGGGGAGGCCGCAGCGGGGAAUAUUGGCCAAUGCGCGCAAGCCUGAUCCAGGCAUACCGCGCGAGGGAAGAAGGCCCACGGGUUGGAGAGCGCUUUAGUUCGGAAAGAUGAGCAGCAGGUUAAUCCCGCACUGUUCUGACGGUACCCAAAGAAUAAGCACCGGCUAACUUCGUG
rnacentral:rRNA from 1 species